rnacentral:rRNA from 1 species
UUGGACGGUCAUGGAGGGCUGGUUCACCUGGUCUCAUCCCGAACCCAGAAGUUAAGCAGCCCGUCGUGCUGGGUUGUACUAUGAUGCGCGAGCUCAUGGGAACCCCAGCAUGCUGUCCACC